rnacentral:rRNA from 1 species
UACAGAGGGUGCGAGCGUUGUCCGGAAUCACUGGGCGUAAAGGGCGCGUAGGUGGUGGCUUAAGCGUGCGGUGAAAGCUCGGGGCUCAACCCCGAGUCGGCCGUGCGAACUGGGCUCACUGGAGCAUAGUAGAGGCAGGUGGAAUUCCGGGUGUAGCGGUGGAAUGCGUAGAGAUCCGGAAGAACACCGGUGGCGAAGGCGGAUCUCUGGGCCAUUACUGACGCUGAGGAGCGAAAGCGUGGGGAGCGAACAGG